rnacentral:tRNA from 1 species
UCCCCGAUAGUCUAGUGGUGAGGAUAUCUGCUUGUCAUUUGCCAGACUGAUUCGCAGGGGACCGGGGUUCAAUUCCCCGUCGAGGAG